ensembl:snRNA Gm23579 predicted gene, 23579
UCCCUUUGGCAGCACAUAUACUAAAAUUGGAAUGAUACAGAGAAGAUUAACAUGGCCCCUGCACAAGGAUAACACACAAAUUCGUGAAGCGUUCCAUAUUUUU